rnacentral:rRNA from 1 species
UACGUAGGUGGCAAGCGUUGUUCGGAAUUAUUGGGCGUAAAGGGCGCGUAGGCGGUUUGUUAAGUCAGCUGUGAAAGCCCGGGGCUCAACCCCGGAGGGUCGACUGAUACUGGCAAACUAGAGUACGGAAGAGGUAGCUGGAAUUCCCGGUGUAGCGGUGAAAUGCGUAGAUAUCAGGAGGAACACCUGUGGUGUAGACAGCUUACUGGACCAUAACUGACGCUGAGGCACGAAAGCGUGGGUAGCAAACAGG